UCCUGGUAAGCAGAGUUGGUAGAGUGCUCCACAGGAAAUGGAGAGGUCCUGGGUUUGAUACCCGGACCAGGCG
rnacentral:tRNA from 1 species